UAUAAAUAUGUGAUUGUGGUUCUCACAAUUUACAACAUCCUUCGGGAUGGAUGGCCAAGUGCUAUGCACAAACUCUCUCAAAUAUACACAUACCCUAGCCUAGUUUUGUACCAUAAAUAUUUGUAGUGGAUAGGGCUUGUAAUAUUUAGAGGAGUGGUCAUUGUAGCCAACCUUCGGGUUUGGAUUUGUAGCACCCUUCGAGGUAUUUAUCAAUAUACAGAUAUACCUUGGAAAAUAUUGUGUGUUGGUUUAAUAUUUUCAUAUCCUCAGAAACCGACCCAAUAAAUAUCCGGAACACGAAACCCAUUACAG
rnacentral:lncRNA from 1 species